CUUAAAAACUGAGCACCACCUAGCGAGCCAGCAGGUGUCUCACCUGGAGUUUUGGUUUCAUUGGGAAUUAUACAACGCACAAAAUGAGGGGCAGAGACAGUUUGGAAGGAAGAACCCUUCUUCUUGGCAACUUUCUUCUUUCCACUGUCAGCUGAAAGCAAUAAGGGAGGGCACGUGCUGUAGGUGAAUCUAAAAGGUUUUUUGUUACUGUGGAACAAAUGGAGGGAAAUCACAUGGACACAAAGCAC
rnacentral:lncRNA from 1 species